CUCGUAGGCGGCCUGCCAAGUCCCACGUGAAAGACCAGGGCUCAACCCUGGGGACGCGAGGGAAACUGGCAAGCUGGAAUCUUGGAGGGGGUACUGGAAUUCCUGGUGUAGGGGUGAAAUCUGUUGAUAUCAGGAAGAACACCGGAGGCGAAGGCGAGUACCUGGCCAAAGAUUGACGCUGAUGAGCGAAAGCGUAGGGAGCGAACA
rnacentral:rRNA from 1 species